GAUGAACGCUAGCUACAGGCUUAACACAUGCAAGUCGAGGGGCAGCAUUUUAGUUUGCUUGCAAACUAAAGAUGGCGACCGGCGCACGGGUGAGUAACACGUAUCCAACCUGCCGAUAACUCGGGGAUAGCCUUUCGAAAGAAAGGUUAAUAUCCGAUAGUAUAUUAAAACCGCAUGGUUUUACUAUUAAAGAAUUUCGGUUAUCGAUGGGGAUGCGUUCCAUUAGUUUGUUGGCGGGGUAACGGCCCACCAAGACAACGAUGGAUAGGGGUUCUGAGAGGAAGGUCCCCCACAUUGGAACUGAGACACGGUCCAAACUCCUACGGGAGGCAGCAGUGAGGAAUAUUGGUCAAUGGACGAGAGUCUGAACCAGCCAAGUAGCGUGAAGGAUGACUGCCCUAUGGGUUGUAAACUUCUUUUAUAUGGGAAUAAAGUAUUCCACGUGUGGAAUUUUGUAUGUACCAUAUGAAUAAGGAUCGGCUAACUCCGUGCCAGCAGCCGCGGUAAUACGGAGGAUCCGAGCGUUAUCCGGAUUUAUUGGGUUUAAAGGGAGCGUAGGUGGAUUGUUAAGUCAGUUGUGAAAGUUUGCGGCUCAACCGUAAAAUUGCAGUUGAAACUGGCAGUCUUGAGUACAGUAGAGGUGGGCGGAAUUCGUGGUGUAGCGGUGAAAUGCUUAGAUAUCACGAAGAACUCCGAUUGCGAAGGCAGCUCACUAGACUGCAACUGACACUGAUGCUCGAAAGUGUGGGUAUCAAACAGGAUUAGAUACCCUGGUAGUCCACACAGUAAACGAUGAAUACUCGCUGUUUGCGAUAUACAGUAAGGCGGCCAAGCGAAAGCAUUAAGUAUUCCACCUGGGGAGUACGCCGGCAACGGUGAAACUCAAAGGAAUUGACGGGGGCCCGCACAAGCGGAGGAACAUGUGGUUUAAUUCGAUGAUACGCGAGGAACCUUACCCGGGCUUAAAUUGCAUUUGAAUAAUCUGGAAACAGGUUAGCCGCAAGGCAAAUGUGAAGGUGCUGCAUGGUUGUCGUCAGCUCGUGCCGUGAGGUGUCGGCUUAAGUGCCAUAACGAGCGCAACCCUUAUCUUUAGUUACUAACAGGUGAUGCUGAGGACUCUAGAGAGACUGCCGUCGUAAGAUGUGAGGAAGGUGGGGAUGACGUCAAAUCAGCACGGCCCUUACGUCCGGGGCUACACACGUGUUACAAUGGGGGGUACAGAAGGCAGCUACCUGGCGACAGGAUGCUAAUCCCAAAAACCUCUCUCAGUUCGGAUCGAAGUCUGCAACCCGACUUCGUGAAGCUGGAUUCGCUAGUAAUCGCGCAUCAGCCAUGGCGCGGUGAAUACGUUCCCGGGCCUUGUACACACCGCCCGUCAAGCCAUGAAAGCCGGGGGUACCUGAAGUACGUAACCGCAAGGAGCGUCCUAGGGUA
rnacentral:rRNA from 1 species